rnacentral:rRNA from 1 species
UACGUAGGGUCCGAGCGUUGUCCGGAAUUACUGGGCGUAAAGAGCUCGUAGGUGGUUUGUCGCGUUGUUCGUGAAAACUCACAGCUCAACUGUGGGCGUGCGGGCGAUACGGGCAGACUUGAGUACUGCAGGGGAGACUGGAAUUCCUGGUGUAGCGGUGGAAUGCGCAGAUAUCAGGAGGAACACCGGUUGCGAAGGCGGGUCUCUGGGCAGUAACUGACGCUGAGGAGCGAAAGCGUGGGGAGCGAACAGG